rnacentral:rRNA from 1 species
UACGUAGGGUGCAAGCGUUGUUCGGAAUCACUGGGCGUAAAGCGCACGUAGGCGGAUUUGCAUGUCGAUUGUGAAAUCCCUGGGCUCAACCUGGGAAUUGCAGUCGAAACUGCAAACCUUGAAUACCAGAGAGGGUGGCGGAAUUCCUGGUGUAGAAGUGAAAUUCGUAGAUAUCAGGAGGAACACCGGAGGCGAAAGCGGCUGCCUGGCUGUGUAUUGACGCUGAGGUGCGAAAGCGCGGGGAGCAAACAGG